rnacentral:rRNA from 1 species
GACGAACGCUGGCGGCGUGCCUAAUACAUGCAAGUUGAGCGCUGAAGGUUGGUACUUGUACCAACUGGAUGAGCAGCGAACGGGUGAGUAACGCGUGGGGAAUCUGCCUUUGAGUGGGGGACAACAUUUGGAAACGAAUGCUAAUACCGCAUAAAAACUUUAAACACAAGUUUUAAGUUUGAAAGAUGCAAUUGCAUCACUCAAAGAUGAUCCCGCGUUGUAUUAGCUAGUUGGUGAGGUAAAGGCUCACCAAGGCGAUGAUACAUAGCCGACCUGAGAGGGUGAUCGGCCACAUUGGGACUGAGACACGGCCCAAACGCCUACGGGAGGCAGCAGUAGGGAAUCUUCGGCAAUGGACGAAAGUCUGACCGAGCAACGCCGCGUGAGUGAAGAAGGUUUUCGGAUCGUAAAACUCUGUUGGUAGAGAAGAACGUUGGUGAGAGUGGAAAGCUCAUCAAGUGACGGUAACUACCCAGAAAGGGACGGCUAACUACGUG